CGUGGUUGGCGAGGAACACGAUGCCCUUGGCGUCGCUGGCCAGGACCAGGUCGGGGUCUGGUUCCACUGCCGUUCCAGAUCGGGAAACUCCAGC
rnacentral:tRNA from 1 species